rnacentral:tRNA from 1 species
GAGGAUACAACUCAGUUGGUAGAGUGCUUGCCUUGCAUGCACAGAGCACUGGGUUCAACCCCCAGCACCACA